rnacentral:rRNA from 1 species
CCACCACCAAAGCAUUCUCUGGUGUUGAAGGCCCUGCAAAGCAGCAUCGCGGUGGCGGAGCGUCGUUUGCGACGCCCAACACACAAAACAAGCGGUGAGUGCUUUGGGGUGGGGUGACUGCGUACCUUUUGUAUAAUGGGUCAGCGACUUAUAUUCUGUAGCAAGGUUAACCGAAUAGGGGAGCCGGAGGGAAACCGAGUCUUAAUUGGGCGUUAAGUUGCAGGGUAUAGACCCGAAACCCGGUGAUCUAGCCAUGGGCAGGUUGAAGGUUGGGUAACACUAACUGGAGGACCGAACCGACUAAUGUUGAAAAAUUAGCGGAUGACCUGUGGCUGGGGGUGAAAGGCCAAUCAAACCGGGAGAUAGCUGGUUCUCCCCGAAAGCUAUUUAGGUAGCGCCUCGUGAAUUCAUCUCCGGGGGUAGAGCACUGUUUCGGCUAGGGGGCCAUCCCGGCUUACCAACCCGAUGCAAACUGCGAAUACCGGAGAAUGUUAUCACGGGAGACACACGGCGGGUGCUAACGUCCGUCGUGAAGAGGGAAACAACCCAGACCGCCAGCUAAGGUCCCAAAGUCAUGGUUAAGUGGGAAACGAUGUGGGAAGGCCCAGACAGCCAGGAUGUUGGCUUAGAAGCAGCCAUCAUUUAAAGAAAGCGUAAUAGCUCACUGGUCGAGUCGGCCUGCGCGGAAGAUGUAACGGGGCUAAACCAUGCAC